rnacentral:rRNA from 1 species
CGUAGGGUGCUAGCGUUGUUCGGAAUCAUUGGGCGUAAAGCGCGUGCAGGCUGUUAGUUAAGUCGGGUGUGAAAUCCCUGGGCUCAACCGAGGAAGUGCAUCCGAAACUAGCUAGCUAGAGAGUGGUAGAGGAAGGUGGAAUUCCAAGUGUAGAGGUGAAAUUCGUAGAUAUUUGGAGGAAUACCGGUGGCGAAGGCGGCCUUCUGGACCAUUUCUGACGCUGAGACGCGAAAGCGUGGGGAGCAAACAGGAUUAGAUACCCUGGUAGUCCACGCCGUAAACGAUGGGUACUAGAUGUUGCGGGAAUUGACCCCUGCAGUGUCGACGCUAACGCAUUAAGUACCCCGCCUGGGAAGUACGGCCGCAAGGUUA